rnacentral:rRNA from 1 species
AUGGUUGGCAUCUCCCAAGCCGGCAACAUCGCCGUCUACUGGGGCCAGAACGGUAACGAGGGCACGCUCGUCGACGCCUGCAACUCCGGCCUCUACGCAUACGUCAUGGUCUCCUUCCUCAGCACCUUCGGCAAUGGCCAGACCCCCGCACUCAACCUCGCCGGACACUGCGAUCCGCUCUCCGGCAACUGCAACGUCUUCAGCUCCGACAUCACGACGUGCCAGUCCAACGGCGUUAAGGUGCUCCUCUCUCUCGGCGGCGGCGCCGGCAGCUACGGCCUCUCCUCCACCGAGGACGCGCAGAGCGUCGCCACCUACCUGUGGGACAACUUCCUCGGCGGCAGCGCGUCGUCCCGCCCGCUCGGCGACGCCGCCCUGGACGGCAUCGACUUCGACAUCGAGACGGGCAACUCGGCGCACUACGACGAGCUGGCCACGUUCCUGUCCCAGUACAGCGCGCAGGGCAGGAAGGUGUACCUGACGGCGGCGCCGCAGUGCCCGUACCCGGACGCGUCACUGGCGCCGGCGCUGCAGACGGGGCUGUUCGACAACGUGUGGGUGCAGUUCUACAACAACCCGCCGUGCCAGUACGCGAGCGGGGACGCGAGCAACCUGCAGAGCGCGUGGAACACGUGGACGAGCAGCGUGAAGGUGUCCGGGGGCUUCUACCUCGGCGUGCCGGCCUCGACGGCCGCGGCCGGGAGCGGGUACGUGCCGCCUGGCGACCUCACGUCGGCGGUGCUCCCCGGCGUGAAGAGCGCCAGCAACUACGGUGGGAUCAUGGUGUGGGACCGCUACAACGACGUGCAGAACAGCUACAGCAGCCAGGUGAAGGAUAGCGUCUGA